rnacentral:rRNA from 1 species
GACGAGGGGUCCAAGCGUUGUUCGGAAUCAUUGGGCGUAAAGCGGGUGUAGGCGGCUCUAUAAGUCAGAAGUGAAAGCCCCGAGCUUAACUUGGGAAGUGCUUUUGAUACUGCAGAGCUUGAAUGUGGGAGAGGUUAGUGGAAUUCCUGGUGUAGUGGUGAAAUACGUAGAUAUCAGGAGGAACACCGGUGGCGAAGGCGGCUAACUGGCCCAACAUUGACGCUGAGACCCGAAAGCAUGGGGAUCAAACAGG